AUACGUAGGGGGCGAGCGUUGUCCGGCAUGAUUGGGCGUAAAGGGCGCGUAGGCGGCGCGGUAAGUCUGGAGUGAAAGUCCUGCUUUCAAGGUGGGAAUUGCUUUGGAUACUGCCGCGCUUGAGUGCAGGAGAGGUUAUCGGAAUUCCCGGUGUAGCGGUGAAAUGCGUAGAGAUCGGGAGGAACACCAGUGGCGAAGGCGGGUAACUGGACUGCAACUGACGCUGAGGCGCGAAAGUGUGGGGAGCAAACAGGAUUAGAUACCCUGGUAGUCCACACUGUAAACGAUGAAUGCUAGGUGUAAGAGGUAUCGACCCCUUUUGUGCCGGAGUCAACACAAUAAGCAUUCCGCCUGGGGAGUACGGCCGCAAGGUUGAAACUCAAAUGAAUUGGCGGGG
rnacentral:rRNA from 1 species